AGGGAGGAGCGGCACGAGCGGGCUGCAAAGGGGCGGGAGCGGAGAACUUUCUAGAGAAGCGGUUAAACGGGUUGAGGCUCUUGGACUGAGGGUACUGGAGUGGUUUGGUUUUUUUGUUUGUGUCGUUUUUGUUAAGAUUUGCUUUUCUGGUUGAUGGCCCCUAGGAGUGCCCUCCUCUCCUACACCAGGACCUCUGGGAUCACAAUCUUCCCUAUGUCGUCCCGCCCCACCCCCACCCCCUCCCUUACCCCACCCCUCCGCCCGCGUCUAAGCGAUUUUUCCAGAUCCUUCUCUAUCCUCAGGACUCCCAAGUCCGGGCCUGCCUGGUGGCCGGCCCUGCUCACCCAGGCCCACAGAGUAAUAGCUGGAGACAGGCAGUCGGAUGUGAAGUGGCAAAGAUCGGCCUCCCGUGAUUGUGCCACAGAUGCCCAUGGUCCCAGGUGUGGGCACCUGAGCAGUGUGGGAAAGAGAGGUCGAGGGAGUGAAAGUGUGGGCCCAGGGGGGACAGUUUCAGCCCAGGUGUACAGAUCGGACACAACUUUGCCCUCCCUGCAGCCUGGCAGGCCCACCGCAAAAAUGCCAUGAGCAGAUUUAUAAGAGCCAAAGACUUAUAAGUGGAGGUGAAUACGCAGGAAGGUUUUCUCAACCCGCUCGCUGCUCCUAUGAGAUGCCUGUGGAGUUCCGAGUCUGUGUGGCUAAAACCAUGAAGUUCUAAUUACUGGAACAGUGCUGGCUUGAUCUGCUGCUGGUUUGAUGGAAGAUCUGUCUGGAGAGGUCCUGACUCUGCCCAACAGAUUAGAUUAGUACUCCAGUUAUACAGUCUGAACGGCGGAGGCACAGGAGAGAGAGGAACAA